AGAGUUUGAUCCUGGCUCAGAUUGAACGCUGGCGGCAGGCCUAACACAUGCAAGUCGAACGGUAACAGGAAACAGCUUGCUGUUUCGCUGACGAGUGGCGGACGGGUGAGUAAUGUCUGGGAAACUGCCUGAUGGAGGGGGAUAACUACUGGAAACGGUAGCUAAUACCGCAUAACGUCGCAAGACCAAAGAGGGGGACCUUCGGGCCUCUUGCCAUCGGAUGUGCCCAGAUGGGAUUAGCUAGUAGGUGGGGUAACGGCUCACCUAGGCGACGAUCCCUAGCUGGUCUGAGAGGAUGACCAGCCACACUGGAACUGAGACACGGUCCAGACUCCUACGGGAGGCAGCAGUGGGGAAUAUUGCACAAUGGGCGCAAGCCUGAUGCAGCCAUGCCGCGUGUAUGAAGAAGGCCUUCGGGUUGUAAAGUACUUUCAGCGGGGAGGAAGGGAGUAAAGUUAAU
rnacentral:rRNA from 1 species